rnacentral:tRNA from 1 species
GGCUCGUUCGUCUAUCGGCUUGAGGAUACUGCCCUUUCAAGGCGGAGAGAUGGGUUCGACUCCCAUACGAGCUG